rnacentral:lncRNA from 1 species
GACGGAAAGGGUCACAAAUGUCCACAGACACCAUGGUUUCCAAUCCUAUGUUUGAUGCAAGUGAAUUUCCUGAUAACUAUGAAGCAGGAAGAGCUGAGGCUUGUGGGACACUGUGUAGGAUUUUUUGUAGCAAGAAGACUGGAGAAGAGAUUCUGCCAGCUUAUUUAUCCAGAUUUUACAUGCUUUUAAUUCAAGGUUUGCAGAUAAAUGAUUAUGUGUGCCAUCCUGUCUUGGCCAGCGUUAUUCUAAACUCUCCUCCUUUGUUCUGCUGUGACUUGAAAGGGAUUGAUGUUGUGGUUCCUUACUUUAUUUCAGCUCUUGAAACCAUUUUGCCUGACAGGUAA